AAUUAUUAUGUAUUUAAUUAAGGUUUUAAAUUUUUAUUUUUUCAAUUUUUUUUUAUUAUAUAAGAGGAAGAAGGGGAAACAAAAGGGGAAUUGUGGGAACUAACACCUAGUAUGUGAGAAUUUCACAUGAAAUCCACGUAAAUUCUAUUUCAAAUAAAAGUCUCAAAAGUCUUUUAAAUUCCAUAAAAAUCUAUAAAUAUUUUAAAUUGAAAAUUCAUAAAAGUCUACGAAAGACUUCCACUAAUUCCAUACAAAUCUAUAAAAGAUCCAAGAAAGCCACAAAAGUCACCACUUCAAAAAAGUCCAUCAA
rnacentral:lncRNA from 1 species